rnacentral:rRNA from 1 species
CCUACGUGAGGCUGCAGUGGGGGAUAUUGCACAAUGGGGGAAACCCUGAUGCAGCGACGCCGCGUGAGUGAAGAAGUAUUUCUGUAUGUAAAGCUCUAUCAGCAGGGAAGAAAAUGACAGUACCUGACUAAGAAGCCCCGGCUAACUACGUGCCAGCAGCCGCGGUAAUACGUAGGGGGCAAGCGUUAUCCGGAUUUACUGGGUGUAAAGGGAGCGUAGACGGUUAAGUAAGUCUGGAGUGAAAGCUCGGGGCCCAACCCCGGGACUGCUUUGGAAACUGUGUAACUGGAGUACAGGAGGGGCAGGCGGAAUUCCUGGUGUAGCGGUGAAAUGCGUAGAUAUCAGGAGGAACACCAGCGGCGAAGGCGGCCUGCUGGACUGAAACUGACGUUGAGGCUCGAAAGCGUGGGGAGCAAACAGGAUUAGAUACUCUGGUAGUC